ACUUGACAAACUUGUAAAUCAGUUUUGGCACAUAUCUUUCAAAAUACUGCACCAUAUGAGCUAAAUCAGUGGGAAUAUCUUUUAGCCAUGGAUAAAGACCCUUAGCCAUCAUAUGAAUAUUCCAAUUGAUCUCAUGAAUAACCUUGUAUUUGGACAUCCUUUCCCCAUAAAUAAUGGAAUUUUUCCAUUUCCAAAUUUGCGA
rnacentral:lncRNA from 1 species